AUUGAACGCUGGCGGCAUGCCUUACACAUGCAAGUCGAACGGCAGCACGGGUGCUUGCCCCUGGUGGCGAGUGGCGAACGGGUGAGUAAUACAUCGGAACAUGUCCUGUAGUGGGGGAUAGCCCGGCGAAAGCCGGAUUAAUACCGCAUACGAUCUACGGAUGAAAGCGGGGGACCUUCGGGCCUCGCGCUAUAGGGUUGGCCGAUGGCUGAUUAGCUAGUUGGUUGGGUAAAGGCCUACCAAGGCGACGAUCAGUAGCUGGUCUGAGAGGACGACCAGCCACACUGGGACUGAGACACGGCCCAGACUCCCACGGGAGGCAGCAGUGGGGAAUUUUGGACAAUGGGCGAAAGCCUGAUCCAGCAAUGCCGCGUGUGUGAAGAAGGCCUUCGGGUUGUAAAGCACUUUUGUCCGGAAAGAAAUCCUUGGCCCUAAUACGGUCGGGGGAUGACGGUACCGGAAGAAUAAGCACCGGCUAACUACGUG
rnacentral:rRNA from 1 species